rnacentral:lncRNA from 1 species
CAAAUCCCUAACCCUAAACAUUAACCAAGCGGCACCCCACCCCAUUCACCGCUGCCCGUGUCCCUCACCACUCUAACUCGCCGGAAAACUCGGCAAACUGGCCGAGUUAACUCACCUGGUUGGUUUGAUUCUAUGCGUUUUCUUCCUUCUUCUUUUUUUUUUUUUGAAUUUACUCUUUUAGGCAAAAAUAGGAAAAAGAAAAUGGGGUGCGUAGGAUUGAGUUGCACUGGAUCUACUCCCUCCAUUUCUCUUAUCUCACCAACAGAAGAGAUUUUCCGAUUUUUGUUUUGAUUUUCUGAGAAUUUUGUGGAGAAUUUUCGAUUUUCUUGAAGAGGAAGGAAGGAGAAACUUAUAGGCUUCCUAUAUAUUGUGGUCUUGGACAGAAAAUGGGAGAGGGAGGAGAAAAUUGAGAACAAAUUUUCUGAGGAAAAAGCUCUAGGGUUCGAUUUUAGGCUUGGUAUAGCUCUCUUCUCUUCUGUUUCUUUUUCAUUUGAAAUUCUACAGUGAAGAUCAUUCGAAAUAGUUUUUUCUUCUUCUGGUUUUGUUUUAAAAGUAAAAAAAACAAAAAAAAAACACAUAAAAAUUAGUUCAUUUCCUAUUCUGGAAUUCCAAUUUUUGAUUUAAGCAUGGAGUGCGAUUGAGUUCCGGUGGUGCUCAUUUGAAGUUUUUUUUUGCUGUUUGUGGUUCGAGUUCGUGGUUUCGGAUUCGAUUGUCGUUGUUUUAUCCAGUCCAUACUAAUUUCAUCAUUCGAUUUUUUGCUUGUAUCACAUUCGAACAUUAAAGGGCAAUCGAUCAUAUGGAUUCAAGUAUGACAAGUGCUAAGUUAAUCUAAUUUAUGGAGUAUUUGAGAAUUGGUUCGAAUAAGUUAUCUGAAAUUGAUUGAUGUUCUUAGCUUCUAUUAUAUGUUGAAGUAUAUUUCAAGUUCAGAUUUGUUUAGUAUAGAAUGAUCGAGUCGUUGGUUGCGUUGUUGGCUAAGUUUAACCUGACACUAAUUCGAAGUUUGGGAAUAAUAAUUGAGCUUGAAUCUGUUUGGUUUGGUGUGUUUUGAUCAAGGUAUAAAUGGUUGUGCUACUGUCGAGCGGAUCAUGGCCCACUAGUGCGCUUUUCUUGAUGAUAGAGUAUGACCGUGUCCACGUUUUGGCAGUUUGAAAAGUAAUCGAGAUUAAUGGUUCUGUUUCUUCUAUAGACAUAAUGCUAGGUUAACUUGUGUGCUUGGUUCAUUCUUAAACUCUUGAGUCGACACACACUUAGCUUUACUUAUAGGACACAUAAGUUAAUGUUCCUGUUCACGAAGGUUAUGUUCAGACAGUCCGAAUGCUUUAACAUGAAUUCGUCUUCAUAAUUCUUCAAGUUCAUUAUGUUUGAAUGUUAUUAGAAGGUAUCAUUGGUGUCAUGAAGUGUGAGAGUUUUUAUGUCCUGAAGUGAGAAUUCGAGUUGAAAUCCUUUUCUUAUUUCCUUUAUUUUGAGCAACAAUUACUUAUUGAGGUACCUUGUGAAAGUUCUGUGGUCCUCCUUAUUUAGCAUUUGGAUGAAUUGAUUUGCCAUGCCAUCUUGUUAAAUUUACAAAUAGGCAGAUUACUGUUUGAGUGAACUGUCCAAAGUAUAAGGGUAAUAUUCCCUAGUUAGUUCCAGUGCAAGGUUUGCACUACUUCAUAUAACAUUUUCUUCUCAUAUUACUUUAAAAUAGGGACAACUUGCAGGAUAAAAGCAUUUAAGGUUCCUAGUUCUUUUCAAAGUGUCACGUUUUCAGUCAGUAUGUAUAUUGGAGCUUAUGGUAUCAAUUCUCGCCAGUAUUUGUUUUUGAAUUGGUGUAGUAAUAGCACUUAUCAUACUUGAAUCCACUCUUUAUUUCCUCUCCUAGUAACAGUGUUUUUUUUCUUUAGUUCAUAUGGUCUUAGACACCUACUUUGUUUGGAUUAACUGAUAUUCAUCCGAAUAGAGCUGUAGGGAAUUGGAAAAAUAUCGAGCCCACUAGUAUUUAAUUAAAUUAUAUGCUUUAGGAUUGGGCUCGGUCUAAGUACAUGAAAAUUAAAGGUUAAGAGGAGAAUGAACAUGAAAAGAAUCCCAUUUACUUUAGUUUAUUUUUAUAUUUGUUACUCUUUUUACUUAACGGCUAGGAGCAUGCUAGGCCUUCAUCACUCUGGUAGGCAAGCCUUAGAAUUACUUAUUAGCUUUUGAGGCGAGAGGUCGUUGCCUUAGUUAGAUUUAUUCGGGGAAUGCCCCAAGGAAUUUGUAUAUAUUUUAUUUCAGGGGUACGCCCCAAAGUUAGUGUAAAUGGAGGCCGAAAGUAGAAACUUGUAAUAUAUUAUUUUAUUUUCAUUUUUUUCUUUUAUUUAGGUGGGGAAGACCUCGAGCUUCUUGUGUGUUUAUUUUCUUUUUCUGCUUUUUCUACUCAAUUGAAUAUUUUAAAAGCCAACUUGAUCAAGUACGCAACUGUACUAGUUACGGGACUUGGGGAGUUUCUAACACCUUCUCCCCGAAUCAAAUAAUUUUUAAUUUAUUUUAGAGGGUUUAGUGAAGUUUGUUGAAAAAAAAGGGUGUGACAGGCGACAAGAGCAUUUCCUUCCCCUUCUUUAUUAGAUACAACAACCAUCUAUUUGGCUAGUAGGUCCUGUGAUGAUAACAAAUUCUAAAAUCCUUCCAAAGAUGGUUGUUUAACCUAUCUUUGAAUCGAUGUAACAAAGAAAAUAUAUUCUGGAUUUAAACCACGAAUAAUAAUUCUUCUUAUUCGUGCUUCAGAUAGCCUCGUCUGCACUCAAUAGUGAAAUUGUGGAACAUAGAUUUUUAACCUUCAAAAAAUAAUUGGCGAUAGAGAGAUUACCUUGAGUGGUGUUAGCUAACUCGUUCUCCAAAAUGUGUAGCCGAGUUUCAUCCUUCUUAUUGAACAGCCGAUCGAAGGUCCUCGAUAUUUCAUGAGCUAAUUUACGCCUUUUAAUAUAAUCAAAUAAAUUAGGAGAGAUAGAUCUCAUUAGGAUAAACAUCGCCUUAGCAUUAAUCUGCUUCCACUUCUUGCACGCAUUGCUAUUUUUCACUGCGUCAACAGAAGAACUUGUGUUACCCCCAUUGACGACUUCCCAUAAAUCCUCGCCAACAAAGUAUAACUCCAUACAAGUCUUCCAUACCUUAUAGUUGGAUUGGUUUAAUAACUCCAUCUUCGGUCCAUAUAGCACGACCACCCAAAUCUAUUUAGAGAAACCAGUUGAAUCAAUCACUAACCCGACCUUGAAAUCCAGAAGCCGACUUAUGGCUCUAUUACCAUAUAAAGAAUAGCCGAAGAAAAGUAUUAUUUGGAAACUUUCUGCUAGCCCAAGAUCGUUAACUAAGAUUGGAGGAUUCAACUAAGGAAGUGGAAGCUUAAAAAGAGAAGACAAAUUUUGAAAGAAGCACUUUGUUUUUAAUGAAGACUUUCUUGAAUUUUGUCUCAUUACAAAUGACUAAAGCUACUCCUAUUUAUACUUGUCGACGGAUGAUUCAAGAUACAAAAAUAAGACAUUCUAUCAACUUCCACUAAUAUCUUCCUUAAAUAUCCAAGAUUCUAGAAUAUCUUGAUAUUUCUUAAAUACAAUAAAUAUCUAAGAUAUUACUCUAUAACUUUCUAAAAACUUUUUCUAAUUAAUUAUAAGUUUUACUCUUCCAAAAAAUCAACUUUAUUUUUUUACAAUGUGAUCCAAAAAUAUCUUUUAUGUACAUAUUGCAGUGCUUGAAUUUUCUUGGUUUCUUUGAAUAUUUAAUUUUUUAUAUUUUAAUACGCUUUAGUAAAAAAUUUCACUCUGCCACUUAUUAAAUAUUCACAAUUCCCCUCCCCACCCCAAAAGGUGCAUUUUUUAACAUGUGAUAGGUGAGGGAGGCAUGGAAUAUUAUCAAUAUGGAAUCAAAACAUGCAUGGACUCUACUCUUUGACUAGAAUUUAAUUUGCAUGCAACUUUUAAUUUUAUUCCGACUUUCAAAUUAGGCACACAGCAUCCAAUAUAUUUCUUUUGGCUAAUGUUUGGGUUUAGCCACUGUGUCUUCCCGCACGUGUUUUGCGGGAGAUGAAUUUUGACUGUGUACGGUAAAAUUUGACGAGUCUACGUACAGUAAAACGCAUUGAUGAAGAAUCUUUAAUUUACUGCAAUUCAUUAGCCACGUGUUUUUCCUGCAAACAUAUAUAUUUUUCGUUGUCGUGCAACAAGUUAUUUAAAGAACAAAACAUGUUAAAGUAAAUGUUUAAUUAAUAAAUGAUAAAAAAAUAGAAAUCACUAUGAAACACGUUUUCAUGCGAAGUAUCUAUCCUUAGUUACUCUCACAUUUAAACAUGAUAUGGAAGUCUCAUCACCCAUGUUUUAAUUUUUCAGGUUAUCCCGAAUUUGAUUUGCUUCUUUCUUUAUUGCAUUUAAAAGUUUUUGAUAUAUAUAAUAUAUCCAAAGUAUCAACUGUAUUGCUUUAAAUUUGACGAUUUGAUAAUUGUAGAUGAACUUGACCGAGGACGGGGU